rnacentral:misc_RNA from 1 species
UCUCCGUUGGUGAACCAGCGGAGGGAUCAUUACCGAGUGCAAACUCAUAACCCUUUGUGAACCUAUAUCUAUUGCUUCGGCGGCUCGCUCUCGGGCGGGCCCGCCGGUAAUAUCAGUAUCUCUGUUUGAACCCGACGAUACUUCUGAGUGUUCUUAGCGAACAGUCAAAACUUUUAACAACGGAUCUCUUGGCUCUA